UAUCACUCUCGUAAUUUCUUUCAAAUCCAUGCCCAAAAUGCAUAGAAAAUUAGCUGGGUGCUCUCUUCCCCACCGCCCUCGUCAUUCUUACAUUUCGACGAAGUUUCCUUUUUCUCGAGCCUUUAUGUACGCAUAUUACAUAUAAAUAAACGCGUGUGUGAGUACCUGAAGGUGUGAGAUGUUGGAGAAUUCGGAGUGAGAAAUUGAGAGAAUUUUGGGGAUUAAAAGUGUGAAUUUCUUGAGAAAUGGAUUCUGAUUUGUGGGCUCGCCUUUCUAAUUCUUCUUCUUACAGGCGUUAUCAAUCUCGAUCAGGCUUGUCUAAUUGCCACACUUUCCUCUCUCCUUUUUUUCCCCAUUUCAUCCGUGCGAAAAAUGAUGAGAAAGUGUGAUAUAUUUUUUUCUUUAUUUUGAUUUUUAUGGGAAACUAGGGGAAAUUUUUAAUUUUGAUGUUAAAAUUAUGGAAGGACUAGAAAAUUAACGAAUAGGUGAAAGGGAAAGUGUUGAUUUUUCUUAAGGUUUUCUGCUUGUGGAUUUAGUGAGAUGAAGAAAAUUUUGGAUUGUCAAGGUUUUGUCUUAAAGCUGGAUUCUUCUUAUGAAAUUCCGAGAGUUUUCUGUUCAAUGUAAUGGGUAUAGGUUAUUAUAACAGAAACUGAAACAAGAAGAAUAAGUUGGAAAUCUGUACCUCUCCUCAUAAAAAUUGAAUUGAGCGUAGUUUUAUAGAAAAUUAGAAUUGUGAAUUAGGGUUUCUUUGCUUUAGAAAUCAGGCUUUGAGCGAAAGGAUUAAGAGCCAUUUUUCGCAAGUUUUUUCGUUGUGUUCUGUUUGGUGUUGGUGUAUCUAGAAUGUAAACUUAGAUCUUCUAGUUUUUUGAAGAAUCAUAAAGAAUGUCUCAAAUUUCAGUACUUGAAACAGAAAUGGAGUGCAGUUUUCUUGAUAGCGUGAUGUGUAGAUUAGAGCUUUUCUUGAUUGUGCAUUUUCAUGUAAUACAGACUCAUAUCGCGGAGAGGAGUACGAAGGGGAAGAAGAGCUGAGGCCAGAGUUUCUCUGUCC
rnacentral:lncRNA from 1 species